rnacentral:rRNA from 1 species
AUGCAAGGCCUCACGGCAUCUUGCAAGAUCGUGCUCGUGAUGUUUCUGCUCGGCUUAGGCUUGGCAGGAGCCACCGCCGACAGCCGUAGGAGGCACAUCUCCAGCAGCCCUGACGAGCCGUGCAAGAAGAUGACGCUCUACCUCCACGACAUCCUCUACAACGGUGUCAACAACAGUGCCAACGCGACGGCGGCGCCGGCGACCAAGCCGACGGACCUGAGCACAACGCACUGGAGCAACGGCACCUUCUUCGGCAUGCUGGUGGUGUUCGACGACCCGGUGACGGAGGGGACGGCGCUGCCCAUCGGGCAGGAGGAGCCGGCGGCGCGCGCGCAGGGGUUCUACUUCUACGACAAGAAGGAGUCGUACAGCGGGUGGUUCUCCUUCUCGCUCGUGUUCAACUCAAAGGCAUGCAGGGGCACCCUCAACCUCAUGGGCGCCGAUCCCAUGGACGCGGAGACGCGUGACUUUUCCGUCGUCGGGGGCACCGGCGACUUCUUCAUGGCGCGCGGCGUCGCGACGAUCCACACCGACGCCACCGAAGGCUACUUCUACUUCCGCCUCAAGAUGGACAUCAAGCUCUACGAGUGCUACGUCUAA